rnacentral:rRNA from 1 species
CAGUCGCCACGGUAAUACGUAGGUCUCGAGCGUUGUCCGGAUUUAUUGGGCGUAAAGCGAGCGCAGGCGGUUAGAUAAGUCUGAAGUUAAAGGCUGUGGCUUAACCAUAGUACGCUUUGGAAACUGUUUAACUUGAGUGCAAGAGGGGAGAGUGGAAUUCCAUGUGUAGCGGUGAAAUGCGUAGAUAUAUGGAGGAACACCGGUGGCGAAAGCGGCUCUCUGGCUUGUAACUGACGCUGAGGCUCGAAAGCGUGGGGAGCAAACAGGAUUAGAUACCCGAGUAGUCCCUGUCUCUUAUACA